rnacentral:rRNA from 1 species
CAAUAGCGUAUAUUAAAGUUGUUGCGGUUAAAAAGCUCGUAGUUGGAUUUCUGUUGAGGUCGGGCGGUGUACACUUCGUGUAUUAUUUGCUUCGGUCUCGGCAUCCUCUUGGGGAACGUCAGGACUUCAUUGGACUGGCGAGAUUCAAGACUUUUACUUUGAGGAAAUUAGAGUGUUCACGGCAGGCAAGUGCUUUGAAUACAUUAGCAUGGAAUAAUAAUAUAGGACCUUCGUUCUAUUUUGUUGGUUUCUAGAACUUAGGUAAUGAUUAAUAGGGACAAUUGGGGGCAUUCGUAUUAACGCGUCAGAGGUGGAAUUCUUGGAUUGCGUUACGACGAACUACUGCGAAAGCAUUUGCCAAGGAUGUUUUCAUUGA